GUGAAAACACGCAAAAACGAAACACGGCCAAUAUGCAGUUAGUACAAGUACUCAGUGUAAAGUACAACACAGAGGAAGAAACAGACAUAUCCAAAGUCUGUGUUGUGAGUUUGAGAUUGGAGUCUCUAGAAUCUAAAAUUCUUCAUCGGUGGCAGAAUCUAUUUUUACAGUCAUCACAGAGCGCCAAGCCGGAGCCAAGUCCGGAGCUACUUGUCUUGUGUGUGUUGAGAUUGAGUAAUGGUUAUAACUUUAUAAUAACAAUGAAUAACCCACAACAAACACCCCGACUCAGCAGCUUGUGACACAUAAACAAUUUGUAAUACUAAUAAUUGCACAUUUAUAAAUAUUACCCCGCCGAACUGUAUGCUGGUUACGGCUCACAACAAGAAGUAACACGUAAAAGAGCGAUACAGGAGGAACAACGAGAUAUCAGAGUUGCACAACUUGUGCCCAAGAGAGGAGCUGUGUCUGUUUGGAGGGUUUUUAGUUUUGGAAAAUCCAAAGUAAGUUAGAUCAAAUAACAAUUCAUUGCAAAGUCUGUUCAGUCUCUGGUGGCAACACUAGCAGCCACAAUAAGCUGACAUGCUAACUUGCUAACUCGCUAACACAAUAACAAGCUAACUAGCCAGUUACACGCUAACUCGCUAACACGAUAACAAGCUAACUCGCCAGUUACACGCUAACUCGCCUUAUCAGGUCAAUGAAUUAAUGUGUUUACUUGAAAAAGCAAUACCGGGAUACCGUCAAAAUCUUUCUUAAUACCGUGAUAUGGAUUUUUGACCGUGCAGCCCUAGUAUAUAUAUCUAGAUCUAUAUCUAGAUAUAUUAUGUAUUGUUAAAAACAUAACAUAAUGUGACAAAACUAUAGCAUAAUUAAACAGAAUACAGUUUUAAUAAAAAUAAAUAACACCAUGACAUAAUACAAUAUAAAAACAUAGGUUCUCUCCAAGUGAAGUCUCUUCCUCUUCCUUUGGCUUACUACUCGCAAUUAUUUGAAUUUCUGUUAUAGGAAGUGAAUGAAUUGUACAUCUUUUACAUUGUUCAUUCUGUACACAUGUCCAUUGUAGUCUGUCCAGCCCGGGAGAGGGAUCUUCCUCUGACGUUCUCCCUAAGGUUUCUUCCCUUUUUUCCCCAUGGAAGGGUUUUUCAUUUUUGGGGAGUUUUUCCUGUGUUGAUUAUGGGGUUUCGGGACAGAGGAUGUCGUAUGUGUACAGACUGUAAAGUCCUGUGAAGCAGAUUUGUAAUUUGCAAUUUUGGGCUAUACAAAAUAAAAUGAAUUCAAUUAAAU
ensembl:lncRNA